UUCUUGAAAAUCUCUAACAUGAUAGGGUAUUUAUAAUACUCCUAUCCUACUCCUACUAAACUAAUAAAAUAAAUAACCAAAUCCUAAUAUACUAAUGAAAUCCUUGACCCAAUUGUACUAGGGUAAGGUUACAAAAUUAUAAUCCAAAUAGAAUGAUGAAACACAUAACCUAAUUGCACUAGGUUAAUGUAUUAUGGCAAAAAUCCAGCUUUGUGUCUGUAAGUCCCAAAGUCUUCAGAAAUGCUGUUUUAGCCCGGGACAGAUUUUCCAUGCAGCAGAUUUAGUCCUUUAUGCGUCCAGCUCCUUUCCAUCUCGUUUGUGAGCUUUCUUUUGCGUCAAGUAAGCCAUAAAUUG
rnacentral:lncRNA from 1 species